CUGUCAUAUGAUGAGCUAAAGUUUACCGCCCCAGUCUGAUAUGUAAUGACUGAUUGGUAUUUAUCUGAAUGA
rnacentral:snoRNA from 1 species